CAGUCACCAAAAAUUGAGACGCCUGGAUGGGGGCUGGGCACCGAAUCCUCGGCUCCAGAGGUCCUCUGUCUCUUUUCUCUGCAUUCCAGCCUUUGUCACCCCAGUUGAGUCCAUAACAUGGAGGUGUGCUCAUCAUCAGCAUCGGAAGCUGUCCCCCCAAAUGUUUUUCUUAAACGCAUGAACAGGGAGCGUUUUGGUGUCUGGAAGGAAAAGUACAGUCCUUGAGACCAAAUCCAUCAUGUUUUUGUCAUGUGAGGACGCAUGGGAAAAAGGACCCUGUGUAAAUCAGAAACAAAGAAGACAAAACAAGGAGAGGCGGCAGACAAGGUGAUGGAGAAGGGGCCUGGAGUGCACACGGGUAGCUGCAGAGGACCAAGGAACAGGAGGAAGGCUGCCCUCCCCAGGCUUGCAAGGAGACACCUCCCCCAGUGUUCACUCCAGGGAAGGGGACGGCCUUCCUCUUAGCCACUCAAGCAGGGGUCCAAGGAAGAACCCAAAGCAUUAACUAUCUAGGGACCAACCUGAGCCAGGAGCUGCAAGACCUCUACACCGAGAGCAAUAAAACAUGACUCAAGGAAGUUGAAGAGGAGUCAAAGAAGGGGAGAGAUAGUCCAUGCUCCUGGCUUGGAAAAAUGAAUAUCCUAAAAAUGGCCAUUCUACGCAAAGCAAUCUACAGAUUCAAUGCCAUCCCCACCUGUGAUAGUUUUCACAGAAGUAGAACAAAACCAUCCAAACAUUUACACGGAACCAAAACAGGCCCAGAAUGGCCAAGGCAAUCCUGAGGAACAAAAACCAGGCAGGAGGCACACCUCUCCCAGACUUUGGUCAAUAUUACAAAGCUACAGUAAGCAAGACAGUGUGGUAAAGGUACCAAAACCGACACACAGACCAUUGGAACAGAAUGCAGAACCCAGAAAUAACCCCCAAACCGACGGUCAAUUAUUCUUCAACUGAGGGGGCAAGAAUGUAAAAUGGGGAAAAGACAGUCUGUUCAGCGAGUGGUGCUGGGAAGCUGGACAGCCACAUGAAAAUCCAUGAAACUGGAAAACACCCUCAAACCGUGCACAAAGAGAAACUCAAAACGGCUUAAAGACUGAAACGUAAGACAAGACACCAUCAAACUCCUGGAGGAGAAUGUCCGCAAAACAUUCUCUGACAUCAAAGCAUUUCUGUAGGUCACACUGAGUGCAAGGAAAAAGAAACCAAAGCAAAACUAAACAAAUGAGUCCUAAUCAAGCCCAUAAGCCCUUGCACAGCAAAGGAAC